UUACAUAAAGAAAGUUUGACGUUUGUUAGUAUUACUUAAAUUAGUUUAUUAAAACUGGGUAAAUACAAAUUUCAGGUGAGGUUAAUAGCUUUUGUACCCGGAUAUCAUUCAGGUUUAAAUAUAAAGAAAUGGGGACACAUGAAGAUCCGUUCAGUUCUACAGGAUUGUGUUUUUGAUAAAGAAAUGGGGACACAUGAAGAUCCGUUCAGUUCUACAGGUUCAAAUAUAUAUCAGGCGGAUGUUGAAACGGACGAGGUGUAUGCCCAAAUGACGUUGCAGCCGUUGACCCCUCAAGAACAAAAGGAUACAUUUCUUCCGGUUGAGCUGGGAACUCUAAGCAGAUAGCCAACUAACUACUUUUGCAAGACGUUAACCGCCAGUGAUACGAGUACUCACGGAGGAUUCUCUGUUCCUCAACGGGCAGCUGAAAAAGUUUCCCUCCACUGGAUUUUACGCAGCAACCACCCGCACAGGAACUUAUUGCACGGGCCUACAUGACUUCGAAUGGAAGUUCAGACAUAUUUUUCGCGGGCAGCCCAAACGUCACCUUGUUUUAUGCAUGGCAGCCGCAACAAGUUUAUACGGGCCACAAGAAAUGGAUUACUGGUAUAUCUUAGGAAUCGAUAGUUUUUACAAGCCCAGCGCUGCAAAAAGUGGCUGUGAUUCAGACUACUGUUGAUCGCAUCGAAUCCACAGGUUCAAGUAUGCCACGUGGUGCGCCUAUGUUUAGAGCAUCUUAAAGAUGAAGUCAGUAUGCGGUACUUCCACAGUCUCCGUAAAAAAUUCUGGUCGAUGGUACUACCAGACGUGAAGGAGAAGUCGUCUACUAAUAAGGUUCCCGUUAUUGACGUCACAUGGUUAGGUUACUUUAAGGUGUUGGGGAUGGGUACUGUUUCUGCAUCAUAGCCGAUUGUUAUUAAGGCGAAACUGACAUCAAAGAGUGCUGAGAAGAAGACAAAGGCAGCUGGUUGUUCCAGUAUGCUCACUGCUUAGGUUUGUUAUUUCGAUUUCAUUUGCAGAAAACUAUGGUUUGCUGAAUACUAUUCACAUUGGAUUUAAGUUUUGUUUUGAAAACAUUUAAUUGUGAUCCAUUAAAACUGGUUGUGGUUCAAAUCAGCCAUUGUUAAUACAUGUCGAGAUGUUAAGUCAGGUUUUCAUACUAUAAUGGCAUAUUGGCAGACAUAAACUUUCACUUACCAAUAUGAUCAUACUCUUAAGC